UGCGUGGUGCUGCUUUGGUACUGAGAUGA
rnacentral:piRNA from 1 species